CCGGCGCACGGGUGAGUAACGCGUAUGCAACUUACCUAUCAGAGGGGGAUAACCCGGCGAAAGUCGGGCUAAUACCGCAUGAAGCAGGGAUCCCGCAUGGGAAUAUUUGCUAAAGAUUCAUCGCUGAUAGAUAGGCAUGCGUUCCAUUAGGCAGUUGGCGGGGUAACGGCCCACCAAACCGACGAUGGAUAGGGGUUCUGAGAGGAAGGUCCCCCACAUUGGUACUGAGACACGGACCAA
rnacentral:rRNA from 1 species